AUGGUCACACCUUAAUUGCUUCAUGUGACCGUCCACCCUCCAACUCCCAAUUGGAAACCUAAUCCAUCACUACCUUCACCUUCACCACUUUCAUCAUUCCAAUUUCCACCGUUCAUCAACAUCGAUUGAAGCUUAUCUUGGUUUGCUAGGUGAUUUACAGCACAAUUUCGAGAAAAAAUGGGUGUACAGUGGUUUUGACGAAAUUUCGAUGUUGAAUGGGUAAUAACUCCGAUUAAGUACAUUCCAACAACCAUAGCAGAUUCAAUUUAAUCAGUUGCGUUGUCUUUUAAAUUCAAACAAACAUUUCUCUUUCACUCUCAUAACAUUUCUCAAACAAGAAAGCCAGAGGUAAUUUAUCAUUUUUAGGCAAUUUUGGUUCCGGUUACACAUAGAUUGUCAGUUUGUUACUGAUUCGUUUUCGUCUAUGUAUCUGUGUGUUUGUUGUCGAUUUUUGUUAUAAUAGCUUUUUAGGUCAUUUGAAGUAUACUGUUUGUUGAUUUUGCUUCGUUUUAAAGGUAGUUAAAGUUACAUGAUGUUAGAAGUAGAAGAAUGGGUAAGAAUGGUAAACUAAUAAAAGUUUGGAUUUUUGGGAAAUGUAGAGGGGGGUCAUGCACACCAGGUGUUUGUUAAAAUGACUAAGGGGUUAUUUACUUAUUUGUUCUGUACUUUCGUUUUUUGGAUGUAAAGCCUCUUUGAUAAAUAUAUCAAAUUUGCUGAAAUUUGCCUUCAUUUGAUGGCAGCUCUAUCAAUUUCACAAGUAAACUUGUUUCUUAUUCAGAGAGUGUCUAUAGUUGAUAUUUGCUUAAGGUAUCAGGUGUGUGGUCUCAUAUAUGAUGGAAAGAAUGCUUAGUUUAUGUUCAUCAUCGAGUACUGCAACUCCUAACUCUGUAAAUCCCCCAAUUGCUCAUCUUAGACUUGGCUUAGGAGGUUUACAACUCAAGCUGUGUUCUUGCUCCAUAAUUUAUCUAUUGGGUGGAAACAUAAAAAAAGCAUAAAACCUUGGAAAAGGGUCAAAACUUGUCCCACGUGUAGAUCUAAUGCAUAAAACCUCUAGAGUUCUGUUAAAAAUAGUUAGAAAAACUGAAUACAUGUUAGAUGAGUUGAGCAUUAUAGAUAAUCAGUUGAAGUCUUAACUAAAGAUAAGUUACUAUCAUUUUGUAUGUAAUCAUUAAUCUAGUUUUAAAUAAGGCUGGCUAAGCCUAAAAUAUGAUUAAGUGAUCACAAGUGGCAAGUUUCUGGAAAUAGAGAUCAAUAAAAGAAUACAGGCGAGUCUCCUGUAUUAAGUUUGGACUUUGGAUUGAAGUUUGGCUGCUGAUUCAUAUUUUAUUGAGUUUGUUUUUUGUGCUAUUAAUUAUAAAUUUCCAUCAAGUAGACUGGAGUUGCUACUAUUAAGAGUGCUGGGAGUCUCUUCUUUUUCCUUUGCUCAUAGAGAAGUUGCAACAAUAAAUGGGCCAGUGGUUAAAGUUAUGAGAGCAAUCUGCCAACAGUUGAUAAAUUCAAUUGCAAGCCCACUGAAGAAUGUAGCCAUGUGAGAGUGGGAGGAGAGAGGGAAUGUUGAAGACGUCCUUGGGCUGAAGGGCUUUUAAAUCUGAAAACCAUCGAGUUUCUAGAUCACCAGGGUGUCUUACUCUUACAUAAGUUGAAUUAUAUGAGGAAACUUGUUACAGCAUUCUACAUUGUCGGACUCGUACCACCCAACAAAGGCUUGAAAUGAAGUAACAGCAAUUCAAGUGACGUCACUCAAAAUUGGUGAUCAAGUAUUGCUGAAAUUACAAGGUGGUGCUACACAUACUGGUGUAGAUUCAAGAGCUCAUCAUCGAGAAAUGAAUUAAUUGACUUGUAUUUUGUAUUCUUGAUUUAUAAAUGUCUAGUUGUUAAUGACAUAAUUUUGUUAGUAAAACAGUGAAGGAUAAAAAUGGGUAAGGUAAAAAACAACAUAAUCUCGUGUGAGUUUUUUUCUCGGGGAAAAUUAUUGGACCAUAGUUGGGUCUUAACAGUUUGGGGAAA